GGUUCUCCAUGGUGAUCGACAGAAGUUUGUUGCAGAUAUGGUUGUCAUAUUCUUAAUUUCUUAUAGCAAAAUAUGUCAUCAGUUAGUCGUAUGUAAUUAUCAUGUAGCAGUUAAUAAUUAGUUAAUUAUUUAGUGAUUUAAAAUUCAUGA